AGAGUUUGAUCCUGGCUCAGAAUGAACGCUGGCGGCGUGCCUAACACAUGCAAGUCGAACGAGAAACUCCGAGCUUGCUCGGAGGAGUAAAGUGGCGCACGGGUGAGUAACACGUGGGUAACCUGCCCCCGAAUCUGGGAUAACUUCGCGAAAGCGUUGCUAAUACCGGAUAUUGUCCUAUUGGUUGUGACCUUUGGGAUGAAAGGCAACCUCUUCAUGAAAGUUGUCGUUCAGGGAUGGGCCCGCGUACCAUUAGCUUGUUGGUGGGGUAACGGCUCACCAAGGCUACGAUGGUUAGCUGGUCUGAGAGGAUGAUCAGCCACACUGGAACUGAAACACGGUCCAGACUCCUACGGGAGGCAGCAGUGAGGAAUUUUGCGCAAUGGGGGAAACCCUGACGCAGCAACGCCGCGUGAGUGAAGAAGGCUUUCGGGUCGUAAAGCUCUGUCAAGUGGGAAAAAAGUCUGAUGAUUAAUAGUUGUCAGAUUUGAUGGUACCACUGGAGGAAGCACCGGCUAACUCCGUGCCAGCAGCCGCGGUAAUACGGAGGUAGCUAGCGUUACUCGGAUUCAUUGGGUGUAAAGGGCAGGCAGGUGUCCUGACAAGUGAGAGGUGAAAUCCUUCGACUUAAUCGAAGAACUGCCUUUCAAACUGUUAGGAUUGAGUAUGAGAGAGGAAAGCGGAACUCUCGGUGUAAGGGUGAAUCUGUAGAGAUCGAGAGGAACACCAGUUGCGAAGGCGGCUUUCUGGAUCAUUACUGACACUGAGCUGCGAAAGCUAGGGGAGCAAACAGGAUUAGAUACCCUGGGUAGUCCUAGCCGUAAACGAUGAGUACUUGGUGUCCUGCGCAAGCGGGGUGCCGGAGUUAACACAUUAAGUACUCCACCUGGGGACUACGGCCGCAAGGCUAAAACUCAAAGGAAUUGACGGGGGCCCGCACAAGCGGUGGAACAUGUGGUUCAAUUCGAUGCAACGCGAAAAACCUUACCUGGGUUUGACAUCCUUUGACAGUCCCUGAAAGGGGAUCUUACCGAUUCUUCGGAACAAAGUGACAGGUGCUGCAUGGCUGUCGUCAGCUCGUGUCGUGAGAUGUUGGGUUAAGUCCCGCAACGAGCGUAACCCUUGUCUUUAGUUGCCAGUAUUUAGUUAGGCACUCUAAAGAGACUGCCUCGGUUAACGGGGAGGAAGGUGGGGAUGACGUCAAGUCCUCAUGGCCUUUAUACCCAGGGCUACACACGUGCUACAAUGGGCUGUACAAAGGGUAGCUAAUUCGCGAGGAAGCGCUAAUCCCAAAAAGCAGCUCUCAGUUCGGAUUGGAGUCUGCAACUCGACUCCAUGAAGGUGGAAUCGCUAGUAAUCGUGGAUCAGCACGCCACGGUGAAUACGUUCCCGGGCCUUGUACACACCGCCCGUCACACCACGAAAGUCGACUGUACCAGAAGUUGCUGGGCUAACUCCGUUUACGGGGAGGCAGGUACCUAAGGUACGGCCGGUAAUUGGGGUGAAGUCGUAACAAGGUAACC
rnacentral:rRNA from 1 species